UGGGGAAUUUUGGACAAUGGGCGAAAGCCUGAUCCAGCAAUGCCGCGUGUGUGAAGAAGGCCUUCGGGUUGUAAAGCACUUUUGUCCGGAAAGAAAUCCUUGGCUCUAAUACAGUCGGGGGAUGACGGUACCGGAAGAAUAAGCACCGGCUAACUACGUGCCAGCAGCCGCGGUAAUACGUAGGGUGCAAGCGUUAAUCGGAAUUACUGGGCGUAAAGCGUGCGCAGGCGGUUUGCUAAGACCGAUGUGAAAUCCCCGGGCUCAACCUGGGAACUGCAUUGGUGACUGGCAGGCUAGAGUAUGGCAGAGGGGGGUAGAAUUCCACGUGUAGCAGUGAAAUGCGUAGAGAUGUGGAGGAAUACCGAUGGCGAAGGCAGCCCCCUGGGCCAAUACUGACGCUCAUGCACGAAAGCGUGGGGAGCAAACAGGAUUAGAUACCCUGGUAGUCCACGCCCUAAACGAUGUCAACUAGUUGUUGGGGAUUCAUUUCCUUAGUAACGUAGCUAACGCGUGAAGUUGACCGCCUGGGGAGUACGUCGCAAGAUUAAAACUCAAAUGAAUUGACGGGGUCAUAGCUGUUUCC
rnacentral:rRNA from 1 species